CUGAUGAGAAGACUGGAGGGUGAGAGUAAAAAACUGAUAUUGCUGUUCCUUAGGGGGCAGUGAUUGAAGUGUGGGAGGGUCGUGCAAAGACCAAGACUGAUGGGGUGAAGUAUUUGAAGUGGUGUAGUAUUUGAAGUGUAGAAGAGUCGUGCGAAGACCAAGACGGAUGGGGUGGUGAAGAAGUAUUUGAAGUGUGAGGGUCGUGCGGAGGCCAAGAGGGAUAGAGGGUCGAGAAAUUUUGUGAAGAAAUUUUGUAGAGAAACUUUGUAGAAAUUUUGUGUUCAUUACUUUCGUGUUCAUUGCUUUCGUGUUCAUUGCUUUCGUGUUCAUUGCUUUCGUGUUCAUUACUUUUGUGCUCGUUACUUUUGUGUACAAAUUUUGUGUGCUGUGUGUUUGUGCCUGUGCGUAGUGUGGUUUUGUGUUUUGUAUGGUCGAGGGUCGUGCCUCGCCCAAAUCUAUUCGUAUGGCUUUCAUUUUGCCCUCUAUAUGAUUUCUCUGGUCCCUAAAACACCCCUCCAUUUGAUUCGGGAAGCCAAUUGUCGGGAGCGAUUUUUGAAUAGGAUCCCAAAGUUUUGCAUUCUUGAGUGAGCGCGAGAAAAAGAUAGAAACAGGAGGAAAAAGCGGGGGUGAAAAAUAUAAUAAAGUAUAAUGUUAAAUAAUAAAAAAUAAUGAUAUAUAAUAAAAAGUAAUAAAACAGCCUAAUACAAGGUUAAGCCUUUUUUGAUUGGGAUGUUUUGGCGCGCGCGGGGAGGAAAUUUCCAGG
rnacentral:misc_RNA from 1 species